rnacentral:rRNA from 1 species
GGACUACUGGGGUAUCUAAUCCUGUUCGAUCCCCACGCUUUCGUGCCUCAGCGCCAAUGAAACCAUAGUAAGCUGCCUUCGCAAUCGGUGUUCUGUGACAUAUCUAUGCAUUUCACCGCUACUUGUCACAUUCCGCCUACCUCUAGUUUAUUCAAGCCCAUCAGUAUCAAGGGCACUGCGAUGGUUGAGCCACCGUCUUUCACCCCUGACUUAACAGGCCGCCUACGCACCCUUUAAACCCAAUAAAUCCGGAUAACGCUUGGAUCCUCCGUAUUACCGCGGCUGCUGGCAC